AACGCACAUUGCGCCCCUUGGUAUUCCGAGGGGCAUGCCUGUUCGAGCGUCAUUAUCACCCUUCAAGCUUUGCUUGGUGUUGGGGCAUGCUGUUACCGGCAGCCCUUAAAAUCAGUGGCAGUAACCAUUAGGCUCUGAGCGUAGUAAUUCUUCUCGCUAUAGCGUCUGGUGGUCGCGCGCCAAAACCCCCCAUUUUUUAUGAUUGACCUCGGAUCAGGUAGGGAUACCCGCUGAACUUAA
rnacentral:misc_RNA from 1 species